UACAGAGGGUGCGAGCGUUAAUCGGAAUUACUGGGCGUAAAGCGUGCGUAGACGGUUAUUUAAGUCGGGUGUGAAAGCCCCGGGCUCAACCUGGGAAUUGCAUUCGAGACUGAAUAGCUAGGGUACGGUAGAGGGAAGUGGAAUUCCCGGUGUAGCGGUGGAAUGCGUAGAGAUCGGGAAGAACAUCAGUGGCGAAGGCGGCCUGCUGGGCUGUUGCUGACGCUGAGGCGCGACAGCGUGGGGAGCAAACAGG
rnacentral:rRNA from 1 species